GUUUAGUUAGUCAUAUACUAACUGAAAAUUCAUGCAAUGGCAUACACAGCAAUUUUUCUCAACAUUUAGCCUCCAAAACACCGUAUAGAUAUAUUGCCAAUUACAACACAACACCUGUUGAAUUUAAGGGUAAUUAUGAAAAAUAAUUAUUCAACAAUAUUAGAUAGGGUAUAUUAUUCAUCAUACCUAGAUAAAAAUAUAUUAUUUUGGUGAUUAGGAUGUUAUCCUUGGAAAAUUUGGCUAGUUCAAAGACAUGGUACAAGAACACCUGGAAAAGAAUUGGAUCAAUUUGUGAAAGAAAGGUUACCAGUAAUUCAACAAGAAAUCACAAACAAUUUAAUUAAGCAUGAAGGUAUAAAAUUUAAAUUUGUAUUUUUAUAUUAAUUUAAUUGUGGAUAACAAUUUUUUUUUUUUUUUAGUAUUGGUAGAUAGGUAUCAUAAAAAGUUCAAUAAAUAAGUAUAUAGAAAAAAAAAUUAUUUUGUUUAUUGGCGUUUCGCUAGGUGGGUUGCGCAAAAAUAAAACAAUCAUAUUUUAACACUUUUUAAUUAAAAAAUAAAAAUAUAAAAUAUAUUAUGACAUGUAAUUUUUGUUCAAAUUUUUUAUAAUUUCCACAUCAAAAUUAUUCUUGUGUCUGGUAGAGAUGAUUAAAACUGUUAAAUGUAAUUGAUGUAGGAUUGGUUUUAAUUUUUUUCAUACAAGAAAAGAUCUGUUCACAGACAAAUGUAGAUCUAAAUUUGUUGCAGCUAUAUUAUCUAAAUAUUGAAAAUGAUGGAGUUAGUUCAGCAAAAGAAAAUACGGACACUUCGCACAAUAGGUGGGCCACUGUUGUAGGUGAGAUAUUAGGAAAGUAGGAUAUAGAGAGGCACUUAAUGUAUUCUUAUAUGUAGCGAGUAAUCAUUGCUAAUAAAAACAAUUUUAAGCAGAGUUAUAUGUUUUAAAAUGCAUAAUUAUGACCUUUAUUCACUGAAAUUUUAUAAUAAAAUUUGUUUUAAAAAAAAUACUAAGUACAUUAAACUCAACUUUUCCUUGUUGGCCCUACUAAGUACAACUUAUAAUGAACCUUAUGUUAAAUAUUCAAACAUUUCUGUUUGGUCUAUCAAUUUUAUCCACAGAGUACCUACUGAAAAAAUAUUUUACGUAAAAACCUUGCAAAAUUAAAAUAUCUAUUAAUAACUUAAAAAUGGCUCAAAUGUUUUGAAAAUUUCACCAUGUUUAAAAAAAACCAAAUAAAAGGUUUCUAAACAAAUUUCAAGUCUCUACGUCUCUAAAUCUUUAACUGAAUUACAAUAAAAAACAAAAUUGAAAAUCAUGAAAGCAUUAUUUCCUACAUUUUCCCAGUUUUCCCCAAUUAUUUUUAAAACUGCUUGGAAAAUCUAAAAAUGACUUCCUUUAAGUAGCACCCCAGGAAAAUUUCUUUUCAAGAUUUCUGGUAAAAUUUUUGUACACAGUAAAAGAAAAAAAACCAUCAUUGUUAAACUAAUACAUUUCUCGCUUCGCUUAGAAUUUAAUACAAAGAUGAUUGAUUGAAUAAGUUUUUAAGAAUAUCUUGUGAUUGUAAAUCUAAUAUUUCAAUUUGAAACCCAAUAGUAACAUAUUGUCAAAAUAAAUAUUAAAUAGUAUGGCAUGUAAUUAAAAAUAUUGUGAACAUAAUUUGAAAUGUAGAAAAUAAUUAUUUAAUUAUUAAUUUGUAUUGAACUAUACCUAGUCUAGGUAUCUAGAAGUAAAUGCAUAUUACACACUUGUACUGAAAAGAGGAGUAUGAAAUAAAUAUUUGUGCCACUGUUUACCUAUUACCGGUCUAAAUUCAUAGAAAAUCCAAUCAUUUUAACACCCUUGUCUUAUUGAUUAAACCACUAAGUACUUACAAUAUUGUCUAAAUUGUAUCAUAUAUUGUUAUAUAAUCAAGUGAACCAAAAAUUUAACUGUGCAUUUUGAUUCUUAAACCUAAACCUUAAAAGUGCAAGUGGUGUAUGACAAAAUAAGCUUUCAAGAUACCUGUUUGUACAGUUUGGGAGAUUUUCCUAGAACCUUGUAUGGGAAAUUUUAAGCAAAGGUCAAGGUUUACUAGUGACAAAGAUUCUUUUGACCAAUUAUAGGUUUGCUUAUUAUAUUAGAACCCUAAGUUUAUAUAAUAUAUUCAUUAUUUUUUUUUACAAUUUUUGCACGCUAUAUUUAAUUCCAUUAUUAUGUUUAUCAUACAUUUUAUUUACAUACACUUUAAACUUAUACUAUAGGUACCAUGUAUACAUUUUUCAUUGUUACCUACAUUUUAUAUUAUAUAAUAAUAUGACACUUAUAAUUCAGAAUGUCUUAAUAUAGCAAAUAUAAAACUUUAUCUGUAAUCAUAUAAUGUAAUAUACUGUUGACCUUCUAUUAAAUUGUGUCUAUGCAUGUUAUUAUAUGUAUUAUAAAUUAUAAGACUGUAUAAGUCAAGAACAGUUAACUACUAUUUAUACAUAAUAUAUUGUGUUGAAUAAAUAAAUAUAUAUUAUAUUUAACUUAGUGAUAAAACAUUAAAAUAUAAAUGUAAGAUAAUAGUAAAAUAAUCACUUGUGUUUGUAUUUAGGUAAUUUAUGUAAUGCAGAUGAAAUUAAAUCAUGGAGUUGUCAUAAAGAAAUAGAUAAUCAAAAACGGUUGACUAAAGAAGGAGAGGAUGAACUUUUCGCUAUUGCUGAACGCAUGCAACUACGGUUUCCUCAAUUAUUAAAUCAACCAUUUGCAAAUACAAAUUAUUUGGUAAAUUAUGAUUGUUGUGUGAUCCAUAUGUAGGUGUUUUAUUUAUCAGCAUACUUAUCUAGUUUAGGUAUACUGAUACUCAAAGAACUAAAAUAAGUGCUCAACAAUUCGCUACUGGUCUGUUUGGACGUUAUGAAGUUAAGAAAGUAUCAUUUGAAAAACCAUUGGAUAAAGACCCUCUAUUAAGAGUGAGCUAAUUAAUAUUCUUAUCUUAAAUAAUUAAAAAAAAUAUUCAUAUGAUCAACUAUUAUUAAAAUAAAUAAUGUUAGUAAUAAAAUUAAUGGCAGAAAACAAUUAUUGUAGGAGAACAAAAAAAUUGGUUAUUAAUACUAACAUUAUUUACAAUAAAAAUUAAAAAUGGCACAAAUUACAAUUUAAAAGAAAAAAAAAUGGAAAAUAUCAGUUAUCCCUUGGUGGAAUAUUAUCAUAUAAAUUUGUGUUACCAAAGUUGCUUAGAUAUUUUUAAUUUAACUGGUAAAUAUUUGAUCUUCUGUGUUAUUGCUUGAAUUUCACAACAUUAUUUAAAUGGUUUUUAACUUACUUAACAUUAUUUUAUAAAUACUUAUAAAUUUUAAAUUUUUGUUUCACCCAAAGACAUUAAAACCUGGAUUGGUAGUGAUAUUACUAUUAUAGUUUAUGAUAUAUAUUAUUUAUUAACAUUGAUAUUAUGCAUUUGUAUUCAAUAUUAUACUAGAAUUUUUUAAUAAUUGCAAUUAUUUAUGUAAUAUUUCAAUAUUAUUAUUUUCUAGUUUUAUAAAGUUUGCCAAAAAUGGAGAAAAGAUGUUAAAAAGUCUUCUUUGGCAUCUAUUGAAUACCAAAAAUUUAUUGAAAAUCAAUUAACUGUUAAUACUUUAAAAAAAUUAUCUUCAAGACUUGGCCUAAAUUACACAUUAACAUUCAGUUAGUAUUAGUACUCGUUAUUCCCGUUGAUUUUGGAAAUAAAAUAAAUAUAAUUAUUUAUUUAAGAGGAUGCAAAGAAUAUAUAUGUAUACUGUGCUUUUGAAACCGCAUGGGAAAAAUAUAAAAUCUCUCCAUGGUGUUCAAUUUUUGAUAAAUCUGAUCUAAUGGU
rnacentral:lncRNA from 1 species